UUGGAGACGAUGUCCUUCAGUUAGGCUGGCCCCAGAACAGGUGCUGCAUGGCUGUCGUCAGCUCGUGUCGUGAGAUGUUGGGUUAAGUCCCGCAACGAGCGCAACCCUCGCCCUUAGUUCACAGCAUUUAGUUGGGCACUCUAAGGGGACUGCCGGUGAUAAGCCGAGAGGAAGGUGGGGAUGACGUCAAGUCCUCAUGGCCCUUACGGGCUGGGCUACACA
rnacentral:rRNA from 1 species